ACAGAACAGUUGAGUCCAAAGUAUCACAGCCCACAGGAAACUGAUUUCAGUUGCUGGCGGGGGGUGUCGGAGGCCCGUGAUAUACAGGAGAUUGCAAGUCAGGACUCUUGGCUGCAGAGGCCAGCUAGGAGUGCCCUCCAUAAUCUGCUGCCCAGCAGAAAGAGAAAGUCAAACCACACACCUUUAUGCUGCAUAUCACACCUAUUCAAGAACCGCAAGACAACUAAUCUUAGAACCUCCUGCUCUACAAUAGACAAUUCUUGAGUUAAAGGUGAAUCCCCAUAUACAGUUCGCAGUAUAGAACCUAUGACAGGAAGUUGAGCAAUUCUAAUUCCAGCCAACAGAGGGAACUUGUGCAGACAGACUCAAGCCAGCUCAUUACAGUACCUUCCAUUCCAUCAAAGACAACAAUUCACCUCCUGUGCAGUGUACCAGCGGUUGAGCAUGCCAGUUCUACAUAGAAAAAGAUGUAUUAAAAAGAGGAAAUGAGGCCAAACUGGAUUAUGAAGUUCUGCGCCAGGUCACAUAGGGGAGGAGAUGACAACCUUCAUGCGGUCUUCCCUGUUAUGUGCAAAAACACAACCAAUGUCAUCAAAUCAGUGACCGAACAUCCUCAAAGAACCUCCAGGUCAAAAAAGCAAUGGCAAUAAACGGCACACGUCAGGGCCAAACCUCCCUUCCAAUAGGCCCAUUGCUGCAGAUUAUGCAGUUCAAUAUCAAGAGACUAUCCAAUGCAAAGUAUUAUUACAUCACAAUGAUGCUGAACACUCAAAACACUAAUGUCCUUGCAUUACAAGAAACACACUUGGAGAAUGAAGGCCGCCAACAGAUGAUCAAUUGAUAUGUCCUUGUAUCUGGAAGCCAUCACCCCAAGUAUGGACUCACAAUGUACAUAAAACAUAACCUUAAGGAUUCCAUCCAGAUCAUGCCUAUCAUGAACUCCUACUCAACUGCCAUCAAGAUGGGUGAUCUGACAUUUGAAAAUGUGUACAAGCCACCAUCAAUGGAAUGGCCAUGACCAUGUUACCAACACCAAGCCAUCCUACCAUCCACAUUGGCUAUUCCAAUAGCCAUCAUAGCCUAUGGGGCUAUAACAAGAAUGACCAUGCUGGAACACAGAUAACAUGUUGGGCUUUCACAGAAGAACAGCACCUCCUUUAAUGAUGCCAAGGACAGUGGCCCGUUCAGGCUGGCCCGAUGGAGGAAGUGAUACACUCCAGAUCUUUGUUUUUUGUCACAUCACAUCAGUGGCCACCUUCUAUCAUCUACAAGGUCAUCUACAAAUUCUCGAUGACCUUCCCAACAGCCAACACUGUCCAGUCAUGAUUUCCGUAGAUCUACAUGUUCCACUCAUUCGAUUCCCUGCACUGGAGUUUACAGUCUGCUGUGUGGUCCUGCUACACAGUGAUUGUACAGGGCUUGAUAAACUGGAUCUCACCAUAUCCAGCUCAUUACCACUGCUUAGUAGGCCUACUAAUAUCAACCACCAAAUCGAGGAUUGCAAGGACCUUCAGAAAAGCAUUCACUCCUUGCUGGACAGAACAGAGCGAGACACUCUUCUGGCAAUAUCAUGGCAACAAAAGCCCCAAAACUGCAAUGGCACUGCUUGAGUCUUUGAACUCAGAAAGUAGGAAAAGGUUGUGUGAAACCAUGAUGGCUCUUGAUUUCACAAGGUCAAGCCACAAAGCCCAGAAGCUCCUCUGUCUUCUAGGCAGUGUGGUUCCAGCAGCCUACCAAUCAUCUCAAGUAAGUGCGAAUGCCAUUGCUACAUAGUUAACUGUCAACUCCCUCGUGCAAUGGAUAAAAACAUCAGGUGACAAGUCCACAAACAACUUUACUGGGCAUCAAACUAGUGCCAGUUGUCUUCAUCCCUUUCUGCCUCCUAUAUAGUAGAUGAAGUGGACAUGGGUCUCCAAACACUAAGUCCAGGAAAGUGGCAGGAAUGGACAGAAUAUGCCCCAAAUUGCUGAAGAACCUUCGCCUGAAGGCAAGAAGUUGGCUGGCAGACUUCUUCAGCAACAUCCACCCUUCUGGCAUAAUACCAAAAGAGUGGAAAGUAGCCAAGCUCAUAGCUAUUUUGAAGCCUGGAAAAGAGCUUGGCCCAAAAAGCUACCAGCCCAUCUUCCUCCUUAACAGUUGCUAUAAACUGUUGGAGCAGCUCCUAUUUCAAAGGUUACAGCCAACUCUGGAGCAACUGGUCUCCAAAGAGCAGGCUGGAUUUAGAACCGGUCACAACUGCUGUGGCCAGAUGCUGGCUUUAACCAGCUACAUAGAAUUUGGCUACCAGCAAAAAUUAAAAACAGCAGCAGCAUUCAUUAAUAUUUCUUCAGCAUACGAUACUGUAUGGUACAAAGGUCUCCUGCUGAAGUUAUCAUUAGCUCUCCCAUGCUAAUCAGUCAUCAGACUCAUCACCGAGAUGUUGAGUAACAGAAGAUUCACUGCACACCUUGGUGAGUCUUCUAGCAAAUUAUGGAGAUUGAACAAUGGCUUCCCACAGGGAUCUGUUUUAAUGCCUCCACUGUUUAAUCUCUAUACCAGUGAUGUUCUGGUCACAUCAUCCCAUAAAUUCAUCUAUGUGGAUGACAUUGUGCAAACAACACAAGCGUCCUCUCUCAAGGCCACAGAAAAGGUCAUGAACAAUGAACUCUGGACACUUGAGACAUAUUUCAAAGCUUGGUGACUGAAACCCAACACUUUGAAAACACUUGUUUCUGCCUUCCACUUGAACAACCAUGAUGCCAAAGUCUGCUGAAAGUGGACUUUUAUAGUCUACCUCUUUUGCAUGACCACAACCCAUGGUACCUUGGAGCUACCCUUGAUUGGAUGCUGAGCCAUCACCAACACCUUGACAACACCACAAAGAAGAUAAAGGAUGAGGGUUAACAUCAUCCAGAAGUUUUCUGGCACAUCCUGGGGAUGUGAUACACACAAGCUUCGAACGUCAGUACAAGCCCAGGUUUUGUCAACAGUGGAGUAUUGCAUACCAGUUUGGUGCAACAGUUCUCACACCAAUCUCAUUGACACUGAAAUGAAUGCUGCACUCAGGAUUGUUAAUGACUCUCUCGCAUCAAUGCUAAUACUGAAGCUCUUACUUUAGGUGGGCAUCACACUAGCUAACAUCAGGUGAGAUGCUGCAGUGGUCUGGAAGUUAAACAAGAUUCUGGCCACUCCGGAACUGCCAAUACACCAAGACCUCAAUUCACAGUCACUCUCCUGACUCAUAUCCAGGAAGCUUGCUGGAUCAAUGCGUCAAUGCCACAGGCCAACAGAAAGGUUGCUAGAACUCACUGGUUCAAAUUGUGGGCUGGUCCCAAACAAAGACCUCAUUGAAAACCCAACAAAAGAAAUCCCAGGGUUCUGUCUUCCCUGUAGGCUGUGGACUGCACUAAGCUGCAUUCAGACAAUGUAUGGAAGGUGUGGCUAUCUCCUUCAUUAAGGGAAAAAUUAAAGAAUCACCAAAU